rnacentral:rRNA from 1 species
CGCGUAGGCGGUUCGAAUAGUCGGAUGUGAAAGCCCUGGGCUUAACCUGGGAAUUGCAUUCGAUACUGUCGGGCUAGGGUAUGGUAGAGGAAAGCGGAAUUCCACAUGUAGCGGUGAAAUGCGUAGAUAUGUGGAGGAACAUCAGUGGCGAAGGCGGCUUUCUGGACCAAUACUGACGCUGAGGCGCGAAAGCGUGGGGAGCAAACA